rnacentral:lncRNA from 1 species
AUUCUUCCCUCCCAGGUACUGAUGGAAAUCUGGGGAAGGCAUUUUGAACAGUCUAUAGAGAGCAUUGGAAGUAGCAGUUUGGGUUUUUGUUUAAAUUUGGUUUUCCUUUCUUGUUUUUUUUUUUCCACUUUGUUUUUUUUUUUUUGUUUUGUUUUGUUUUGUUUUGUUUUUUUAAUGAAGGGCCCUCCUUCCAAAUUCAGAAAGCAUACAUGGUAACAGUUUGCUAUUAUCCAGUCCUCUCUCCACACUUAGGGCCUUUCCAAUUUGUUUGUAUUUUUUCUUUAAAAAAACAAAACACACAGGCAUAAGUAAACAUAACCAAAGCCACAUUAUUUGGCUGGGGGAGUGGGGAGGAUAACAGUAUUUAUCCCAUCUAUUGAGAGAUUACUUACAUCGAAAUAAAACUUCGGUCAGUACAGGUAAUAACGUGCAAUGUUGGGGUGUUAUUUGGGUCUUGGCCUUGCUGAUGGUCAGUAGGAGGAGCCCUGUCUCCUUCCCUCUCCAGCUAAGCAGCUUCUGUAACCAGCUUGGCUCCCUUCUUUGUAUUUUCUACUCUGCAGAGGACCGAGAGUGUUUGCAGAGGGGAAACAAUGGGCAGUGUGGGGCCUGUCGACUUUAUUUGCUUUACUCUAAAAGCAUGUGGAAACAGAAUGCUUUCCUCUUUCCUUUUUUAAGCAGCCUCGUCUGAACUAUUACCAGGCAGUGACUCUGAGGCAGUACAAACUUCAUUAUGUGCAGUAAAAAGUUUUCUCUUGCUAGAUGUGGUAGCACACACAAGUCCAGCACUGGGAGGCAGGGGCAAGAGAAGGGCACGUUUGAGGCCAGCCCGGGCUAUAGAGUAGAACUUUAUCUCAGAAAGAAAGGAAAGUUUCUUUGUUGAAAGAAAAAGCUGAAUAUAAUAAUUUCAAGGUUAAAAUGGGAAAUGAUCACAAUAUGUAAAGCUAGGGACAGACCACUCAGUGACCAACUGUCUUUUGUAAACAAGGAAAAGGGAAACAUUUUGAUGGUUCUCCGUAUCUAUUCUAAGCCCUUGUCUCCUGCUUUCCCUUACUUUUUCUCCCUCAGUUAUUCUGACUAAAUUGAUAAUGAAUGUAGGUAAAAUGUUGUCCCUGCCUUCUUAAAAAUUUAAGUAGACACUUAACUUUACUAUGGUGCCUAACUGGUGGUUUUCAGCAAACAUUAACUAUUAGAGAAAGGAAAAUAUUGUGUCUUUAUAGUUUCUUUCUACCCUCACCCAUCACAGUCCUGUAUUCAUCCUGUUCUUGCUGUUUCAGAGGCGAUUGGGUGGUAUCCUUACAUGAUACUGCGUAGGCGUGUCUUAGAGGCAGGGGGUACUGAGAAAGCAGCGUCCUGAGGAAUCCAUGUUAUCCCUCAGCAAAUAGCAUCUUGGUGCUUUCAGUACCCACCUCUCACCCUCACCCUCACCCUCAUUUGAGUUGCCUGAGUCAUUGCUGUGGAGGGGAGAGCUUUCUUCCCUGCAUUAAAAACUUUGUUUGUGUUUCUGCAUCGAAUCCCUAAGGGGAAGACAAUCGUGGAUCUUGGAAUGUUUCUGUCUUUGUAUCUGGGAAGCAGACACUGCACACUAGGUUUUCUGGUAGUGUGUUGCACCGGGGCACACGCUGAGGACCUCCAGCUAGGUGUGCUGCACCAGUGUGUUGAGCUUUUGAAGGAAUUCCAGCAAGUUCACACAGGACUCUACAGAGGAAAGAAAAGGAGGGCUUUGGAUUCCUCAGUGGGGUGGGUAGGGAAUGGAGGGAAGGGUGGCCUGUGGUUGAAGACAAUCCUUUUGUCUUGGAGCAAACCACUUUUUUUUUUUCCUGAAGAAAGGCUGUCCAGCAGAGCCCGGGAGCUGUGAUCUCUGUGAGGUACAGCAAGAAUCCUCAGAAUUCACAUCCGUUUUGAGCCAGUUCUUUCCUCUCAAGCCUUUCUGCCCUAUAGGUCUCCUCACAAAAAUGCAUGAUAUCAUGACCUCGUGUUUUGGGUUGGGUAUAACAUAGCAAAGCAAGGGAAAUAUAGUUAUAUACUGAGUCUUAAGACAUUUGUUUAGUAAAAAAGAAAAAAAGGUAUCAAACAGAGAAUGGGGGCGGGGGCGGGGAAAUUGUGACUUUCAGAAUUGAUUUUUUUUUCCCAGAAAUUAAGUGGGGGUAUUUUUCAGUCUAGAAUAAAAGAAUGUGAAUUCUUUCUACCGCUCUUAUUUAAACUUAAAUAUACUGUUUACUUGAAAAGGCUCUCUUGACUAUUUGAUUUUCUAAGAAAACAGGGAAGUAUCAGGAAAGUGGUUUCUGAAAUGUUGAAGCAGGAUAACUGUCUUCAAAAGCAUAGCGGCCGCCACAAGACAGGAGUGCGUUGUACAGUUCAAGGACGGACUUUUCAGGGCUUGGGGUUUGUGGGAUAUUUUUUGUUUUGUUUUGUUUUUGCCACAAGAUCUUCAGUGUGUUUGUUUCAGGGUGGAAGUGGGUGUUAUAUGAAGCUGUCAGAUAUUUUAAGGAAAUCUUCCUACAACAGUAAAUGAAGACAUCUGUAUAUAUGUGAUAUAGUGAAACAAAAGACAUUUCUGGUAUUCAUAAAGAUAAAACAAGGAUU